GAAACCAGAUUCGUGAAGAACUGAAUAAUUGAAUAUACCUUCUCUCUCUAAAUAUUCGUGAAAUUUGCAGUCGAACAGAAGAACUAAAGAUUCCUGAAAUUUGCGGAAGAAAUUAAAGCUGAAAGAUGAAAGUUUGAGAUAGUAACUAAUGCGUGCUUCAGCCUUCAUAUGAACUUGAACUUGAACUUGAAGAAGAUGAGUAGUAGUGUACAGCUGUACCACUCUAUUAGAGUGUGUGUGGCUCCCCUAAAAAAAAAAAUAAUAAGUAGAUGUGGCAGCAGUGCAGCACCGCAGCAGAGUCAAACUUAAUUGCAGGACUGUGUUGCAAGCCAGAAUCGAGUUGAGAGGAAAGUUAUGAUUCGAAAUUUUUAUUGUGGGUUAAAGUCCGAGAUAUAAGUUUGUAUAUAGAGGGUUCAUUUAGAACUACAUAUGACAUAAUUUAUUCUUUUACCUUGGAAUUUGAGAUUGAAUGACUAUGUAAUUGAAAUCUUAUAUAAAAGAUAUUGUUUUGUGGGCCCAUAACCCACAGGUCCAGGAUCGUAUAUUUCAGGUUGUUUCCGCUGCGAGUAUUAUCUAAUUCAUAAGUGAUUAUUAUUAAUAUUGUUUUGGUGUUAAUUGAGAUAUGUGAUUACUGAGCGAGUUAAGCUAGCAGCUCGGGGAGAUCAGGCUGUUACAAUGUCAGAUUCCUUCGUUCUUCAUGAAGACCCGUUUACAAGUGACAAUCUUUCUCAUCUUAGGACGUUUAACGAGCUCCCAAGUCUGAUUUCUAUUCAGAGACUCCAUCUCAUCUCCCAUUGCUGCGAGCAAUUGAGUAGAAGCAUUAUCUAAAACAACUUCUUUGUAGGUGGAUGGCUCAUGAGUAUCCACCUCUUCAACAACCUGCAUUUUAUAAGCAAUCAUAUCCUCAAAAUCAUACCUCCUUGGAGGUCUAGCACCAACUCUUAUAUCUCUAUCAAGAGUUAUGCUUCUUUGAUGUGCUUCUGGCGAGGUUGAUUGGUGACGGGAAGAUUAUGCCAAAUCAAUUUUGGUAGCAGCAUGUUGAUCUUCUCCACCUUGGUGCAGUGAUUCACUUUUAUCUUGAGUGACUUGGAGCUCCACCUGUUUAUCAGCAUCACUACUAGCUGGCAUCACAACGGACUUCACAGUGGGGUUAAGCAUAGAAUUUUCAUCAAAAUUUAUACUUCUACUAAGUAUAAUAACUCAACUUACAGAAAGGUGACUAGAUUUAUUUUAUAGCCCUUAACUCUAGUCCCAAAACCAGUAUAUACACCCUUCUUAGCACUAGAUACUAAUUUACUCUCACUUACAUGAUAAUAAACAAUAGGACCAAAAACUCAACAGAGAAUAAUACAUAUGCAGGCUUACCAGAGCACACCUCAUAAGGUGUUUUAGAAUCAAUACAUGUGUGAGGUCCUCAGUUGAUCAGAUAGUAAGUUGUACCUACAGCUUUUGCCCAAAAUCUUCUAGCUAACCCAGCAUUAGAGCAUGCACAUCGCUCUCUCCAGCAAUUUCUAAUUCAUGCGUUUUGCUAACCAAUUCUCUUGUGGAAUAUCUUAUAACAGCAUGAUAGCGAGCAAUCCCUUUAUUUUUGCAGAAUUCAUUAAAAUCAGACCAACAAAAUUCCAGGCCAUUAUCAGUUUGCAACCUUUUGAUCUUCUUUCCAGCUUGAUUUCCACCAAAGCCUUCCACUACUUAAAAUUCUUGAAAACCUCACUUUAUGCUUCAUCAUAAUUACCCAAGUCAUUCUUGAAUAAUCACCAAUCAUCGACACAAAAUACAUGUGACCUCCAAUAGAUUCAAACCGAGAAGAACCGCAACGAUCAGAAUGGAUAUAAUUAAGUGUGCCCUUUGUCCUAUGAACAACAUUUGGAAACUUUUUGGAUGAAGCAUCCCGAACACACAAAGCUCGCAGAACUCUAGAUCCUAGCGCCAUAUAAAUAAUUCAAGACAUAAUAUAACAUCAUAUUCUCUCUUAAAAAAUAACCUUCUCUAGAAAAAGAUAUUCUCCCCUCCUCCUUUUCUCAUCUAGAGAGACAUAAAUUAUAAAAUAUCUGAUUGACAAAUUUAAAUUGGGAAAUUCCCUUAGGUACCCCUAAGGUUUGACGUAAUUCUCAAAUUUCCCCUCAUAUUUGGGGGAUUCUUCAGAUACCCCUGAACUUUGAUUUUAUGCUCAAAAUACCCUUACUAUUGAUGGAACUCUAACAUCAUUAACUUUUGUUUCUGUCUCUCUCUACUCCACCUUCAUAUUCUUCAUCUCUCCUCCCACCCUCCUCCAUUGAUGGCAUCCUAAACCUCCAAUUUUCUCUCUCUCCUUCCACCUACAUGUCUUUCUGUCUCCUCCCCAUCUUCAUCUUAUGAAUUUUCUCCAUUUUUUAUGACGGUGAAGUUAAUUAUCUCUCCUUGUGAAUUUCACCUAAAACUAGUGAUUGUUGGGGAGUUCGAAUUUUUCUGGGUUUGUGCUUGAAUUAUAGUGUUAUGAGAACAACAAGGAAUGGAGUCGAAGGGGUUGUGAAGUUUAGGAGAAAGAGGGGAAGAAGAUGGAUGUAAUAGCCCUAUUUUUAAGAGCGUUUAUUUAAAAGCUAAUUAUAAUUAUUAAGUUAAUUAUGUUCUGAAAAUCUUAUUUUAUAUGAGUUGGAGUAUGGAUAUUUAUCUUGUCGUAUUUGUAAUAUAUUUAUUUGUUUAUUUUUAUGAAGUUAUUUAUAUUAUGUGUUUUGGAUUUUAGUUGUUUAAAAUUAUUUGAGUGAUAUUUGUCGAAAGUUCCCAACUAAAGUCGAUUUCCAUUUUCAUAAUUAUCGUUGUUUUAUUUGAAACCCAAAUACCAUUCCCCUUUUGUCGGUUAAUGAAAGAUCUCAAAACCCCAUCACUUUCUUUCAUUCUCUCUCGUGGCUUCUAAACUUCAGAACACCAAAACCCACCCCAAGUUCCUUCUCUUUCCCAUGUCUAUCAAUACCCCAAAACCCCAACCCGAUGGAAACCCUCACCUCCUCACCAUCUCUCUCGCCCAGCUUCAUUGGCUUCUCUGUCGUCGGUGAGUCGUCGGAGCCGCGUCGAACCACUGAAACUCUGUUGCUGCUACUGUUCUUCUGUUCACUCUUCUUACGGUUCGCGUCUCCCAUGUUCGCCUGUUGAUCUGGUGUCGCGUUUGCAUUGUCAGCCACUGUCGAGUCACGGCGCCACCUCCCCCACGUUGUUGUCAUCCUCGUCGAUGCUUAGUCGUUUGCCGGUGCUCAAUAAACCUCGCCCAAGCUUCGAAAACCCCCCUCAACUCAUGUGUCCUUGUUCUUCACUGCUCCUAGUAGAGUAGAGGUAAAUUCCUUGUAUUUAAUUCGGAAUUCUUAUGAAAGUGGGUUCAUUAGGUUUUAUUCUGGGAUUUAGUUUAAUCAGUGUAGUAGAUUGUUUUAAGAAAGGUUAAUUAGAUUAGUUUCUUUAAUUGAGAUUUUGUGAGAAUGGUUAGUAAUUAGUCUUGUUGUUAUGAGGUAAACUGUUGGAGAAUGAUUAUGGAGUUUGAAUCUUAUUUGGAGAUGAAGAUUAAUGAAGGAGGUUAUGUUGGUGGAAUCUGGAUUGCAUUUCAGGUAACUUUUAUGUUCAGUAAAAUCAUUUACUGAUGCUCUUCUUUGUGUGGAUCUCUCUGUUCUGUUUUUUAUAUAUACUUUCGUACUAUGGCCAUAGAUAUAAAUGUGAUGAUGAAAUGUCAUUGAUUGAAUAUAAAUAUGCAAAUGUUUUGCUGGUGUAGUUUAUGAACUGAAAAUAUAAAGUGGGCAAUGUAUGGGUGGAGGAUGGUUACUCUUUUAACCCGAUACGGUCGGCUACGCUCCAUAACGAACAUUGGGGGUAGUAUUGCUGGGCUCCAUAACGAACCUUGGAGGCGGCGUUUGUCCUUUGUCCAAAGCUUAUACUUGCCACUGAAUUAUUUAAGAGAGUGAGCUAUGUCAGCGUUGUAACGAGAUGAAAAUGAUUUGAGAAAUAAAAUGUUUAUAACAGGCUGAAGUAAAGGUUAUGAGUUUUCCACGCAUUUUGGAAUUUUGUUUGUUUUGUAUUUUCUCCUUGAAUUUGCAGGUUUGGUAUCAAGAGCUCGAGAAUGGAAGUGAAGCAAGAUUAUGAUGUCGUCGUAGCUUAUGGAUUGAGUUUGUAUUUAGAUAGCUGAUUUGAGAAUAGUUAUUGUUAUUUCGUUUAUUUAUAAUGUUUGGGAAUUUAGUCGAGUUAUUGGUGUAAUUAAGGAUAUUUUUUC